CAAGGCAGAGGCGGCUUGAAGGAUGAAGUGUAUAUAAAGAAUGUCGCCAGAAAUAAACGGGCAUACGGCCCGGGGAUCUCUGCGCCCUGACGUUCACAAACU
rnacentral:misc_RNA from 1 species